UACGGAGGGGGCUAGCGUUGUUCGGAAUUACUGGGCGUAAAGCGCACGUAGGCGGCUUUGUAAGUUAGAGGUGAAAGCGCGGGGCUCAACUCCGGAACUGCCUUUAAGACUGCAUCGCUAGAAUUGUGGAGAGGUGAGUGGAAUUCCUGGUGUAGAGGUGAAAUUCGUAGAUAUUCGGAAGAACACCAGUGGCGAAGGCGACUCACUGGACACAUAUUGACGCUGAGGUGCGAAAGCGUGGGGAGCAAACAGG
rnacentral:rRNA from 1 species